UUCCCAAAGGCUAAAAUAAUGAAAUAAUUAAAAUAUCAUCCUAGGAUAGGGAAAAAUCAUAAACAAGGUAAGUGAUAACUAAUUCUAAAAGCAUACAAAUAAUUAAAAUUAAAUCCAAAACUUCCAUAGAAUAUUCACCACUAGAAAAAUAAAUUUACUCCCUCAAACUUAAACUAAACAUUGUCCUCAAUGUUAGAAAAAAUAAAAGAAAGGUAAAGAAUAC
rnacentral:lncRNA from 1 species